UACGUAGGGGGCAAGCGUUGUCCGGAUUUAUUGGGCGUAAAGAGCGUGUAGGCGGCUUGGUAGGUCCGCUGUGAAAACUCGAGGCUCAACCUCGAGAUGUCGGCGGAAACCGUCUGGCUAGAGUCCGGAAGAGGAGAGUGGAAUUCCUGGUGUAGCGGUGAAAUGCGCAGAUAUCAGGAAGAACACCUAUGGCGAAGGCAGCUCUCUGGGACGGUACUGACGCUGAGACGCGAAAGCGUGGGGAGCGAACAGG
rnacentral:rRNA from 1 species